UAGGGAAUAUUGGACAAUGGGGGCAACCCUGAUCCAGCAAUGCCGCGUGAGUGAUGAAGGCCUUAGGGUUGUAAAGCUCUUUCGCGCGCGACGAUGAUGACGGUAGCGCGAGAAGAAGCCCCGGCUAACUUCGUGCCAGCAGCCGCGGUAAUACGAAGGGGGCGAGCGUUGUUCGGAAUUACUGGGCGUAAAGGGCGCGCAGGCGGCCUUUCAAGUCAGGCGUGAAAGCCCCGGGCUUAACCUGGGAAUUGCGCUUGGGACUGGAAGGCUUGAGUACGGGAGAGGAGAGUGGAAUUCCCAGUGUAGAGGUGAAAUUCGUAGAUAUUGGGAAGAACACCGGUGGCGAAGGCGGCUCUCUGGACCGUAAACUGACGCUGAGGCGCGAAAAGCGUGGGGAGCAAAACAGGAUUAGAUACC
rnacentral:rRNA from 1 species